rnacentral:rRNA from 1 species
AACGAACGCUGGCGGCAGGCCUAACACAUGCAAGUCGAACGCCCUAGCAAUAGGGAGUGGCGCACGGGUGCGUAACGCGUGGGAAUAUGCCCUUCACUGCGGAAUAACGUUUGGAAACGAACGCUAAUACCGCAUAAUGACUCCGGUCCAAAGAUUUAUCGGUGAAGGAUUAGCCCGCGUUAGAUUAGCUAGUUGGUGAGGUAAUGGCUCACCAAGGCGACGAUCUAUAGCUGGUCUGAGAGGAUGAUCAGCCACACUGGGACUGAGACACGGCCCAGACUCCUACGGGAGGCAGCAGUGAGGAAUAUUGGACAAUGGGGGGCGAACCCUGAUCCAGCCAUGCCGCGUGAGUGAAGAAGGCCUUCGGUUGUAAAGACUCUUUCGUACGGGGACGGAUGAUGACGGUACCCGGUAC